rnacentral:rRNA from 1 species
AUUGAACGCUGGCGGCAGGCCUAACACAUGCAAGUCGAACGGUAACAGGAAGAAGCUUGCUUCUUUGCUGACGAGUGGCGGACGGGUGAGUAAUGUCUGGGAAACUUCCUGAUGGAGGGGGAUAACUACUGGAAACGGUAGCUAAUACCGCAUAACGUCGCAAGACCAAAAAGGGGGACCUUCUGGCCUCUUUCCAUCGUAUGUGCCCAGAUGGGAUUUGCUAGUAGGUGGGGUAACGGCUCACCUAGGCUACGAUCCCUAGCUGGUCUGAGAGGAUGACAAGCAACACUGGAACUGAGAAACGGUCCAGACACCUACGGGAGGCAGCAGUGGGAAUAUUGCACAAUGGGCGCAAGCCUGAUGCAGCAAAGCCGCGUGUAUGAAGAAGGACUUCGGGUUGUAAAGUACUUUCAGCGGGGAGGAAGGGAGUAAAGUUAAUAACUUUGCUCAUUGACGUUACCCGCAGAAGAAGCACCGGCUAACUACGUG